ACACUCCUACGGGAGGCAGCAGUGGGGAAUAUUGGACAAUGGGCGCAAGCCUGAUCCAGCCAUGCCGCGUGAGUGAUGAAGGCCCUAGGGUUGUAAAGCUCUUUCACCGGUGAAGAUAAUGACGGUAACCGGAGAAGAAGCCCCGGCUAACUUCGUGCCAGCAGCCGCGGUAAUACGAAGGGGGCUAGCGUUGUUCGGAUUUACUGGGCGUAAAGCGCACGUAGGCGGACUAUUAAGUCAGGGGUGAAAUCCCGGGGCUCAACCCCGGAACUGCCUUUGAUACUGGUAGUCUUGAGUUCGAGGGAGGUGAGUGGAAUUCCGAGUGUGGAGGUGAAAUUCGUAGAUAUUCGGAGGAACACCAGUGGCGAAGGCGGCUCACUGGCUCGAUACUGACGCUGAGGUGCGAAAGCGUGGGGAGCAAACAGGAUUAGAUACCCUAGUAGUCCCAUGAG
rnacentral:rRNA from 1 species